CAAUCAAAUUGCGGCAUUUGACAGACGAGCGAAGUGUACACCGAAUAUCUCCGAGUCACUUUCUCAACGUUCCUUUGUCUCCGUUGUCUUAGCGGCCAUGUUAAAUUAGCUCGGAACAGAAGGCUGGCUGUCGGUGCGCGUUUGUCCUUUUGGAGAGGCGAAGUGAAGGGGAGGACAGUUUGGCAAAGCCACCGAGUCAACUAUGACAGAAUGGCCGCCAAAGUUUAUCUUUGCAAAGCCGGGCCGGGAUGAUGUCAUCGGCAGCUGCUGCCUGGCUGACGGACAGUUUCCGCACCACAACAUGGGGCCCUAUGGUCCGCCUGUCAAAGCGACUGACGGCUGAAUGACACCAAUGAGAGCCAGCCGUCCCUCCGCCUCACUGAGUGACAGCCAGUAAGCAGCCAGGAAUGGCGUCCCUGAACCCGAAAGUAAUCGCUUUUAACUUUUCCUCUCAGCUUUUUCUUCCUGUCACCCCCUUUCUUUCGUCUUCUGGCUCUUGUUUGUCUUCUCAAGCGCUUCCAUUUUCCAACAUGGACGCUGGAUUCUCAUCUUUAUGACAAGAACUAAUUGUUUCAGACAACCUGUGUUUACUCCAGCAUCCCAAAUGCGAUGCUGACAGAUAAAUCGGGACAGUUGGACGGGGCGACUGCUCACACGGCCCACCCAAGUGCCUUUCAGCCUGGCACACUGCCCGAGGCCCACGUAGUCAUGUGACCCCCACAAGUCUUUGCACCCACUGACCCCCUAACCUCUUCGCCCACUGUCCCACGAUCCCUUCAACAUUGUAACCCUUUUUUUUUUUUUUGAAAUGCGCUUUCUCAAGUGAGCGGAGCUUCAACGAGACAGGCGAGGAUGCAAAAACGACUCUUGUCCCUUGAUCCGACGCUCCCUUUUUAUCUCACUAUGUUUCUGUCUCAUUUGUCCAUCACGUCCUUUCAAUCUUUCUUCAUCUAAGUGGCGUCACACUCGCUCAGUCAGUCAAUCUGGUCGAACGCUGACGUCCGAGUCUCUCCGGCUGUCUGUUGUCUGUCUCUUUUCUUUGUUGCGUUGCUCAGUGUGGCUUUUUUUUUUUGCCUUGUGAGAAACUCUUAAGGGGCUUUUGUUGGGAGCUCCAGUCCCUUCCAUGGUGACCAUUUCUGACUGACAGCUCUUAAAGGGCUCUCUUCAUUGCCGGGACGUGAAGGAAUGUGUGUCGGAUAUUUACCGAUCAUACACUCGAGUGGGAUUAAUCACAAAUUGUGAGAAAAGUUGAUCACAUAAUAAUAUUUGUGUUGCCUUAUGUAACAUCCCCAAAUAUUUUGAAUAUAAAUAAAGUG